AAAACCCUACACCCUAAACCCUAAACCCUAAACCCUAAACCCUAAACCCUAAACCCUAAACCCUAAACCCUAAACCCUAAACCCUAAACCCUAAACCCUAAACCCUAAACCCUAAACCCUAAACCCUAAACCCUAAACCCUAAACCCUAAAAACCCUAAACCCCUAAACCCUAAACCCUAAACCCCUAAACCCUAAACCCUAAAAACCCUAAACCCUAAACCCUAAACCCUAAACCCUAAACCCUAAACCCUAAACCCUAAACCCUAAACCCUAAACCCUAAACCCUAAACCCUAAAAACCCUAAAAACCCUAAAAACCCUCAAACCCUAAACCCUAAACCCUAAACCCUAAACCCUAAACCCUAAACCCUAAACCCUAAACCCUAAACCCUAAACCCUAAACCCUAAACCCUAAACCCUAAAAACCCUAAACCCUAAACCCUAAACCCUAAAAACCCUAAACCCUAAAAACCCUAAACCCUAAACCCUAAACCCUAAACCCUAAACCCUAAACCCUAAAAACCCUAAACCCUAAACCCUAAACCCUAAACCCUAAACCCUAAACCCUAAACCCUAAACCCUAAACCCUAAACCCUAAACCCUAAACCCUAAACCCUAAACCCUAAACCCUAAACCCUAAACCCUAAACCCUAAACCCUAAACCCUAAACCAAAAACCCUAAACCCUAAACCCUAAACCCUAAACCCUAAACCCUAAACCAAAACCAAAAAACCCGUUAUUGCUACAGUAAAAAACUCUCUCAACUUUGGUUACUGUUCAUGUAACUUUGACCAGCGUUGACCCCGCGUUGACCAGGCUUUGACCGGCCAUUAUGGCCUCAUCGGAAGAUGGUGAUGAUGAUCGGCCACCCUCCAACCCUCCCCCCCAUGCCGGCGACCAACAUACUCACCGGCCGAACCUAGAUCUACCGCCUUUACCCCCACAAAUCCACUCAAAAGCUCGGCCUUCCUCCUCCACCGUCCUCCCGGAAAAUACCAUCGUUUUGGCACUAUCUGGGCACACAUCCGAGCUGCCGACGCCCUCCCUGCCUCCCCAUGACACAAACCGGCCACCCAAAACGAAAAAAAACCAGUCAAAAACCAAACCCAGUUCACGGGUUCCUUUCCCCCCCACGGUGGAUGCCGUGCCACCAACCUUGCCCACUUCGGGCGAUGCUCAACAACUCCUAACCAUCCCUGCAAACCAGCCAUGCAAUGAGUUAACCAUGCCCACCCUCGCUGCAUCCGGAUCGGGCAACAUCAGCCCGCGGCAGUCGCAACUCCACAUCGCUUCUGCGCAACUUCCAGUCGCUGUCCAAGGUCACUCUAGCCUUGAGGAACCUACCCAUGACGAUCUGAACCAGCCCUCCUAUGCUCAGAACAAUGAGUUUGCCGCGCCUCUGCUUGCUGCUCCUGGAUCGAGCAACUCAUACCCGCGGCCUGUGCAACUUCGAUCUGCAGCGGAGCAAGUUCCAGCAGCCAUUACCGACCAACCUGGCCUUCGGGAACCAGUUCAUGAUGACUUGAAUCAGCCACCCAACUGUCAGUUCCCGGAACCCACGUUGGCAGCAGCUGCAGAAACUUCCAGCCGCGCCGAGCUCAUCUCCACCUUGACAGCAUCCAUCGCCGCGGCCGUUGACGCCUUUCUCCGGCCGAACUCAUCACCUCCAACAUCAACAUCCCCCAUCCAGCCAAUACCACCCAUGACAGACCACUCCCCAGCCGCAGCCAAAGAAACGCACCAGCCGGCCCUAAAAUCCCAAACAUCACAAAACCCUAAUAUCCACCCGUUUCCACCCAUCACAACCCGAGCCCAUGACCAAACCCGAACCCACCCACCCAAUCACCAGAUCCGAACCCACCAUUUAAAUAACCCAACCAAUUUACAAGCCCAACAGCCCAUUUCUUUUAAUUCUCUCCAUCAAGCCCAACAGCCCCCUCUUUUUAACCCUCUCCACCAAGCCCAAAACAAAAACAAUUUCCAAGCCCAACAACAAACUAAUAAAAGCCUAGAACAACAAUCCAAGCCCAACCCAGUUUUUAAAAAACCUUCCUAUGCUAAUGUUACUAAUCCCGCUCAUAUUCUUAAUCCCAAUGCUCCAACUCACCCGAAAUCAUUUGUGGAUACAGUUGCGGGCGUGUCCACCACAAUUCCUCCUAAACCGAUUUCUCUGGUCCGCGGCGAACCGGCUGUACAUUUUUCGGCUGCAGAAAUUCAAACAAUGGCAGAACCAUUCAAAUUAUCCCUCGUAGGUAAAUUUUCUUUUGGCCGACCUCCUAUGGAAUUAAUCAGAAAAUUUUUUGUUUCUCUUGGUCUCAAAGGAAAUUGCCAAAUAUCUUUAUUGGAUUCUCGCCAUGUUUUAAUUAAACUUGUUUUAGAAGAGGAUUAUUCUAGAAUUUGGUUGCGACAGACAUGGUUUAUUAAUGGGCGGGGCAUGCGAGUCUUUAAAUGGAGCACUGAUUUUCGGUGUUCCGUAGAGUCUCCGAUUGUUCCGGUUUGGGUGUCAUUACCUCAUUUACCUGUGCAUUUCAUUCAUUGUAAAUCUGCUCUUUGCUCCAUUGCUUCUGCCAUUGGUACCCCACUUCGGGUUGACCACGCUACGGCUUCGGUUACUCGGCCGACUGUAGCUCGUGUUUUAGUGGAGUAUGAUGUUUCCAAGCCGUUAUUACCGCGCAUAUGGAUUGGUGAGGGGGAGUCAGGUUUCUGGCAAGAUGUGGUUUUUGAACGAGCUCCGGCCUAUUGUGCUACUUGCAAACAUCUCGGCCAUUCUGUGGACUCUUGUUAUAUUGCUAAUCCGGAGCUUCGCAAGACUCAGCCUGCAGCUGGGGCCCAGUCCAGAGACGAGGGCAAAAUGAAGAAAUCUGACACCGUGAUUCAGCCACAGCAGCCUAGUACUACCCGUUUUGUGGUUAUUUCUGAUCACCGCACUCAGGGCCCGAGUACCCAGCCUCCAGUAGAUCCGUCUCCGGCCCCCCCGCUCGAUGAGUCUCGGCCAGUGGACACUUCGCCGCCAGGCGCACCCUUGGAUCAUCCUGCUUCACACCCCGAUGAUGUCUCUACCUCCCCGGGUAUUAUUCCAGUGCACACAGCGGACCACACUCAGGUUGGAUUUAACUCACAUUCCACAGAUAUCCCCGACCUUGAUGAUGGUGAUAGGCAUAGACGUUUGGGUUUAUCCCGUUCGACUGAGGACGUCCCCCCUGAUUCAGACAGAGAGUUGGGCGAUGAGGGUCGGUUCCUCACUGAUUCUGAGGAGAUUCAUCCACCACCAGCCCCAGAUGCAGUUAUUGAGAGCUUUGAUAGUGAGCGGGUCGCGAGCUCUUCUCGGGAUUUCUCCCCCGUGCAGGGUCGCCGUCUCCGUAGCCAUCAGAGGCGGAUGCGGCAUCGUUCCCCCACUCCUGAUGAUUAGUUCCCUUAUUUGGAACAUUCGGGGGAUUGGCAAAACCCCCGCCAUCCGCAGAUUGCGGAAAUUGAUUCAUAUGCAUCGCUUGUCUUUGAUUUGUAUUUUGGAGCCGUUUAUUUCGGUGGAUCGUCUCGAGGCUAUCAGGGUGCAACUUGGGAUGGAGCAUGGUCUUUCUUCUCAGUCUGGGAAGAUUUGGAUUUUUUGGUCGGCUCCUUUCUCGGUGGAGCUGCUUCACGACAUGGGGCAGGUGCUUCAUUGCCGGGUUAGUCACUCUCUACUUCCCGAUCCAGUAUUAGUUUCGUAUGUUUAUGCUAGUUGUUUUAUGGAUGUUCGUGAGGAUUUAUGGGCUGCUCUAGAGUCCUUUGCCGAUAGCCAUGAUCUCCCGUGGAUUGUUGGAGGUGAUUUCAAUGUUGUUCAGGCUGUAUCAGAGAUUUCUGGCGGUCACCCUCAGCCUCAGGGGGCCAUUGAUGCUUUUAACUUAGCAUUGCUUGAUUGUGGUUUAGAGGAUGCAGGCUUUGUUGGUAGUCCAUUUACUUGGACUAAUGGCCACACCUGGCGGCGGCUUGAUAGAGUUGUUUGCAAUGCCCGUUGGUCAGCUUUUUUCUCCGUUUUUCGGGUCUCGCAUCUGAACCGCACCGCAUCCGAUCAUUCUCCCCUUCUCCUGUCUUGGGAUCGAGAUACGACUAGAGGCCCUUCUCGGUUUAAAUUCCUCCAUGUUUGGCUCAAGCACCCGGGGCUCAUUGAUAUUGUGCGGCACUCCUGGAAUGCUCCGGUGGUCGGUGCUGGGAUGAGGGCCUUUCAGCAGAAGCUUGUCCGGUUGAAGCUCUGCUUGAAAGCUUGGAAUAAAGAUAUAUUUGGCAACGUCUUCUCUCAGGUUCAGCAGGCGGAGGAGGAGGUGGCUCAGAAGGAGAGAUUGUAUGAUAUUUCUGGUUCCGCUGAUGACAGAGCUUCCUUUUCUGAGGCUAGGGCUCGAUUACAGCAGGCUUUGCUCCGUGAGGAGAUUUUUAUGCGCCAGCAGUCUAGUGUUCGAUGGGUCCGCGAGGGCGACUCCAACACCCGCUUUUUCCACGCCAUGAUCCGGAAAAAGCGUCAGUUAUUCCAUAUCCACAGGAUUCGUGAUGAUUCUUCUUCUGAGUGGAUUACUGAUCCCUCUGCUGUUGCCACUUCUGCUGUUGAUUUCUUUCGGGAUUUAUUGUCUGGGGACGAUGGGCGGUUCCAGCAGACUGAUUUCGACACCAUUCCCACUCUUGUGACUGCGGAGGAUGAUGCCGUUUUAUGCAGGGAGCCGGAUCUUGAUGAUGUUAGACGGGCGGUCUUUUCCAUUGAUCCUGAGAGCGCCCCGGGUCCUGAUGGCUUCUGCAGCAGGUUUUACCAGGUUUGCUGGGACAUUGUAGGGCGGGACUUAUUAGAUGCUGUUCUUGACUAUUUCCGAGGUUCGGCCAUGCCCAGGGGCUUCCAGAGCACUUUAUUGGUCCUUCUGCCCAAGAAGGAAUCCCCUUCCUCUUGGAUUGACUUCCGGCCGAUCAGUCUCUGUAACGUGAGCAACAAGGUUAUCACCAAGUUGCUUGUUCAGAGACUGUCACCCAUUCUGCCUCGGAUUAUUUCCCCUACUCAGAGUGGUUUUGUUCCCGGACGGGUAAUUCAUGACAACGUGCUCCUAGUUCAGGAACUCGCUCACGAUCUCAACCGCCGUACCCGCGGGCACAAUGUGGUGUUGAAACUCGAUAUGGAAAAGGCUUAUGAUCGUAUGUCUUGGCCAUUCAUUCUCCAGAUGCUUCGUUGCUUUGGGUUCUCGGAGCGUUGGAUUUCUCUGAUUCGGAGAGCUGUCUACGGCCCUUGGUUCUCGGUGCUUGUGAGUGGAGCCAUUCACGGGUAUUUUCAGUCUGAGAGGGGACUUCGGCAGGGCGAUCCCAUUUCUCCUUGCCUCUUUAUUAUUGCCGCUGAGUUUCUAUCUCGAGGUUUAACCCACCUGUAUUCUCGGUAUCCUUCGGUUAGGUACCGAUCGGCUGCUCCUACGGAUAUCUCCCAUUUGAGCUUUGCGGAUGACAUUGUUAUUUUUGCAAAUGGGAGCCGCGGUAGUUUACAGCGGAUUAUGGAUUUCCUUCGCCACUAUCAGGCGGUUUCGGGGCAGUUGAUUAGUCGGACCAAGAGCGGCUUCUACAUCGGGAAACCAGCCUCAGCUUCAUGUCGGACUAUUGUGCACUCAGUUACUGGUUAUCAGUGGCGACAGCUCCCUUUUAUUUAUCUUGGGUGUCCGAUUUUCACCGGGUGCCUCAAGAUUUCUUAUUUUGAUGAUUUGGUCCGGAAGGUCAGGGAGAGGAUCUCCGGCUGGGCCAACCGAUUGCUCUCCUUUGGUGGGAAGCUGAUUCUCAUUCGUCACGUGCUGUCUGCUUUGCCUUUGCAUUUAUUUCAUGUUCUCCGUCCUCCCUCGACGGUGAUCCAGAGCUUAGAGAGAUUAUUCACCCGAUUUUUAUGGGGGGACUCCGAGGGGCGACGGCGGAUCCACUGGUGUAGAUGGCCGGCAGUUUGUUUUCCCGUUGAUGAGGGCGGUCUCGGCAUUCGGUCCUUCGAUGAUAUGGCAGAGGCUUUUGAGAUGAAACUCUGGUGGCGGUUCCGUCAACAGAGUUCUCUUUGGGCUUCCUUUAUGAAGUCCAAGUACUGUAGAUCCGUGCAUCCGGGUGUUAUUCAGUUUCGAUAUCCUGCCUCCCCCCUUUGGAGACGCCUUUGUUCGAUUCGCGAGACGGCUGGACCCCACGAGCGUUGGCUUGUUGGGCAGGGCGAGUGCAGUUUCUGGUAUGAUUGUUGGUUGGGCUCUUGCCCCUUAUAUUUGUUUAACCCCGCAGCGGCAUCCUCGCGGCCGGUUUCUUUUUAUUGGCAGGGUGCAGUAUGGGACAGAGGUAAACUGGCGGACAUCCUGCCUAUAUCUAUUGUGGAGCAGAUUUUAUUGGUGCCUAUUUCUUGUGAGGAGCCCGACUUGAUUCGUUGGGAUCUUAGCCCCGAUGGCAACUUUCACUUACGGACCGCUUGGGAGCUUGUGCGGAGCCCCAGACCGAGAGAUGAGGUUUAUUCCAUUAUUUGGCAGAGGCAUAUCCCAUCGAGAGUAUCUUUUUUUCUCUGGCGCCUCAUUCACGGUUAUCUUGCCACUGACGAUGCCUUGUGCUUGAGGGGAUUCCACAUGGUUUCUAGGUGUUUGUGCGGACGGGCAGCGGAGACUCUUCGACACCUUUUUCUGGAUUGCCCGAGGACCCGCCAUAUUUGGGGCCACUACCAGUGGAUUUUGGGGAUGCGACAGCUUGAUUUUUUAUCCCCCCGUGCUCUGCUCCUGACCUGGAGACUUCGUGCCCCUUCCCGGACUCAUAUGUUGGUCCUCCUGCCUUGCUUCAUUCUGUGGCAGGUUUGGAAGGCCCGCAACGCUUACCGGUUUCACUCACAGUCUUUUUCUCCUGAUGCAGUCAUAUUUCAGGUUGCAUCCGACCUUAGACUUGCUGGUUCUGCUUUUGGUUUCAAGCCUCCCCAACUGCGGGGAGUCUUGAAUUCCCGGUUUUUGGAGGGUCUCAGAGUUCUUGUACCGCCUCGGAGGCCGGUUCGCCUAGUUGCCUGGAUGAGACCGCCGCCUGGGGUGGUCAAGCUGACAGUGGAUGGUUGCUCGAGGGGCAACCCUGGGAUGGCUGCUUCCGGGGGCAUCUUACGGGAUUAUCGGGGUGCAGUUCUAGCCGCAUUUGGUUCUUUCCUGGGCCAUCAGCCCAUCUUAUAUGCUGAGCUCAUGGCGAUUUGCGAGGGCUUGGAGUUAGCGUCACGACUUGGCCACUCGGUUCUUGAGGUAGAGUCGGAUUCGGCCACGGUGGUUUCAUGGGUUCACUCUCAGGGUUCUGUCCGAUGGGAUUAUUCUUACCUUCUCCGUCGAGCGUGUCGCCUGAUAUCUUCCGCUUCCAUUCAGGUGAGACAUGUCCUACGCGAGGCUACUUCUGCAGCAGACUUCUUGGCCAACUGGGCCUGCACUCAUCGAUCUAGUCGGCAUUUCUCUUCCCCUCAGGAGCUCCCUAGCGGCUUAUCGGGUAUCCUCCACACAGACGCCCAGUCGAUCCCGUAUGUGCGACGAUAGGCUUUUUUAUUACUAUUUCCUUUUGUAUUUCAUUAUCUUGCGGAGGUCUUGGCUCAUGUCCCCCUCCUUGUAUCUUCCGCUCUUUUCGGAUAUAUUUGACAGGUAGGGGUCCCGCCUAACCCCCCACCUUUUCUUUGGUGGUUUCAAAAAAAAAAAAAAACCCUAAAACCCUAAACCCUAAACCCUAAACCCUAAACCCUAAACCCUAAACCCUAAACCCUAAACCCUAAACCCUAAACCCUAAACCCUAAACCCUAAACCCUAAACCCUAAACCCUAAACCCUAAACCCUAAAAACCCUAAACCCUAAAACCCUAAACCCUAAACCCUAAACCCUAAACCCUAAACCCUAAAAUCCUAAAACCCUAAAACCCAAAACCCUGAAACCCUUAACCCUAAAACCCUAAACUCUAAACCCUUAACCCUUAAACCCUAAACCCCAAACCCCAAACCCCAAACCCCAAACCCCCAAACCCCCAACCCCCAAACCCUAAACCCCUAAACCCCUAAACCCCUAAAACCCUUAACCCUAAACCCUUAACCCUUAACCCUUAACCCUUAAACCCUAAAACCCCGAAACCCCAAACCCCUAAACCCCAAACCCCAAACCCCUAAACCCCAAACCCCAAACCCCAAACCCCAAACCCUAAAACUCCAAACCCUAAAUCCUAAACCAAACCAAAAAACCCAGAUCUGCUACAAUAGCGUUUUGGUGCAGUAUCGAAGGGAAUUCAAAGGACAACGUGCUGGAAGUGGUGGUGUACAUUAACUCGCCGGCAUCACUGUAGCAAUUUGAGAGAAAAUGUCACUGUACCAAAACGCUACUGUAGCAGAUCCGGGUUUUUUGGUUUGGUUUAGGGUUUGGGGUUUUAGGGUUUGGAGUUUGGGGUUUGGGGUUUGGGGUUUAGGGGUUAGGGGUUUUAGGGUUUAAGGGUUAAGGGUUAAGGGUUAAGGGUUAAGGGUUAAGGGUUAAGGGUUAAGGGUUAAGGGUUUAGGGUUUAGGGUUUAGGAUUUUAGGGUUUUAGGGUUUAGGGUUUAGGUUUUAUGGUUUUGGGGUUUGGGGUUUGGGGUUUGGGGUUUGGGGUUUGGGGUUUGGGGUUGAGGGUUGAGGGUUUAAGGUUUAGGGUUUUAGGGUUUGGGGUUUGGGGUUUGGGGUUUGGGGUUUGGGGUUUGGGGUUUGAGGGUUUUAGGGUUUUAGGGUUUAGGGUUUAGGGUUUAGGGUUUGAGGGUUUAAGGGUUUGGGGGUUUGAGUUUUUAGGUUUCUGGGUUUUUGGGUUUUUGGGUUUAGGGUUUUAGGGUUUAGGGUUUAGGGUUUAGCGUUUAGGGUUUAGGGUUUUUAGGGUUUUUAGGGUUUAGGGUUUAGAGUUUUUAGGGUUUAGGGUUUUUAGGGUUUAGGGUUUAGGUUUUUUUUUUUUAACCAACAAACUCCAUAUGCAUUUAAUAAUCAAUCAGUCACAUAUGCUCUUGUUUCCCUUGUAUUUUGCCAACAGAAAAUAUCAAACAAGAAAGAAGUGUCGGAUGAGACUGAAGAAAACGAAAAAAAAAAAAAAGCAAAACCCUAAAUUGGUCACAGAUACGAUGUCGUUUGGGUUAAUUGAUGUCGGCAUCAUCGAAAUCGUCCUCGAACUUGUUGAAAAAGUCGGCGUCGGCGGGCUUGUUGUCGAUGGAGAUGACGCCCUCGCUGAAGAUCUCCAGUGGGUCGACGUCGUCAACGUCCAUCGCUUCCGUGGCUCCCUAAUCCUCCAUAUCUCCGAAGAAUUCCAUCUGCAUCGGCCUCAUGUUUUUUUUUUUUUGGUUUUUCUUUUUCCCCCUUCUCUCUCCAGUGACGGAAUCGAAGGAGCUGGAGAAUAAUAAACUACGAUGUCGUUUUUCACUCCCGGUUUAGGGUUUAGGGUUUAGGGUUUUUUUUUAUUUAAAACCACCAAUGAAAAGGUGGGGGGUUAGGCGGGACCCCUACCUGUCAAAUAAAUCCGAUAAAGAUAGAGAUACAGAGGAGGGGGACAUGAGCCAAAACCUCCUAGAGAUAAUGAAAUACAUAAUGAAAUAUGACAAAACCUAUCGUCUCACAUAUGGGAUCGACUGGGCGUCUGUGCGAAGGAUACCCAAUAAGCCUCUAGGCAGCUCCUGAGGGGAAGAGAAACGCCGACUAGAUCUAUGAGAGCAGGCCCAGUUGGCCAAGAAGUCUGCUGCAGAAGUAGCCUCUCGGAGGACAUGCCUCACCUGAAUGGAAGCCGAAGAAAUCAAGCGACAUGCCUGACGCAUAAUAUACGAAUAAUCUCACCGAACUGGACCUUGGGAGAGAACCCAUGACACCACUGUAGCAGAAUCCGACUCAACCUCAAGAACCGAGUGGCCCAGCUGAGAAGCCAACUCCAAACCCUCACAAAUCGCCAUGAGCUCAGCAUAUAAGAUAGGCUUGUGGCCCAGGAAUGAUCCAAAUGCAGCUAAAGCAACACCACGGUGAUCCCGUAAGAUGCCCCCGGAAGCAGCCAUUCCAGGGUUGCCUCUCGAGCAUCCAUCCACAGUCAGCUUGACCACUCCAGGAGACGGUCUGAUCCAUGCAACUAAUCGAAUCGGUCUCCUAGGGGUAGCCAAGACUCUCAAACCCUCCAAAAACCGGGAAUCCAAGACUCCCCUCAGUUGGGGAGGCUUGAAACCAAAAGCAGAACCAGCAAGCCUAAGGUCGGAUCCAACCUGAAAGAUAACUGCAUCAGUAGAAAAAGACUGCGAGUGGAACCGGUAAGCAUUUCGGGCCUUCCAAACUUGCCACAAAAUGAAGGAAGGCAGAAGGACCCAAAGAUGGUUCCGGGAGGGGGCACAACGUCUCCAGAUGAGAAGCAGCGCACGGGGAGACAUAAAACCAAGCUCUCGCAUCCCCAAAAUCGCUGGUAGUGACCCCAAAUGUGACGGGUCCUCGGGCAGUCCAAAAAAAGGUGUCGAAGGGUCUCAUCCUCCCGACCGCACACACACCUAGAAACCAUGUGAAAUCCCCUCGAGCACAAGGCAUCAUCGGUAGCUAGAAAACCAUGAAGAAGUCGCCAGAGAAAAAAAGAGACUCUCGAUGGGAUGUGUCUCUGCCAGAUAAUGGAAUAAACCUCAUCUCUCGGCCUAGUGCACCGCAUAAGCUCCCAAGCAGUCCGUAAAUGAAAUGUGCCAUCGGGGCUAAGGUCCUACCGAAUCAAGUCAGGCUCCCCACUAGAAAUAGGCACCAAUAAGAUCUGCUCAACAAUAGACGUAGGCAGGAUGUCCUCCAGUUUGCCUCUGUCCCAUACUGUGCCCUGCCAAUAAAAAGAAACCGGCCUCGAGGAAGCCGCUGCAGGGUUAUAAAGAUAUAAGGGGCAUGAGCCCAACCAGCAGUCAUACCAGAAACUACAAUCUCCCUGCCCAACCAGCCAGCGCUCAUGAGGACCUGACGUACAACGAAUCAUACAAAGGCGUCUCCAUAGAGGGGAGGCAGGAUAGCGAAACUGUAUCAUACCCGGGUGCGAGGAUCUGCAUUACUUGGACUUCAUAAAAGAAGCCCAAAGGGAACUCUGCUGACGGAACCGCCACCAGAGUUUGAUCUCAGAGGCCUCUGCCAUAUCAUCGAAGGACCGAAUGCCGAGGCCGCCCUCAUCUACUGGAAAACAGACUGCCGGCCAUCUACACCAGUGGAUCCGGCGUCUCCCCUCUGAAUCACCCCAUAAGAACCGGGUGAACGAUCUCUCUAAGCUCUGGAUCACCGUCGAAGGAGGACGGAGAACAUGAAAUAAAUGCAAAGGCAAAGAAGACAGCACGUGGCGAAUGAGAAUCAGCUUCCCACCAAAGGAGAGCAGGCGGUUGGCCCAGCCGGAGAUCCUCUCCCUGACCUUCCGGACCAAAUCAUCAAAGUAAGAAAUCUUGAGGCACCCUGUGAAGAUCGGGCACCCGAGAUAAAUAAAAGGGAGCUGUCGCCACUGAAAACUAGUAACUGAGUGAACUAUAGCCCGACAUGAUGCUGGAGCCGACUUCCCAAUGUAGAAGCUGCUCUUGGCCUGACUAAUCAACUGCCCCGAAACCGCCUGAUAUCGCUGCAAGAAAUCCAUGACCCGCUGUAAACUACAGCGACUCCCAUUUGCAAAAAUAACAAUGUCAUCCGCAAAGCUCAAAUGGGAAAUGUCAGAAGGGGCAGCAGAACGGUACCUAACCGAAGGGUACCGAGAAUACAAAUGGUCUAAACCUCGAGAUAAGAACUCAGCAACAAUAAUAAAGAGGCAAGGGGAAAUGGGGUCUCCCUGACGAAGACCCCUCUCGGACUGAAAAUACCCGUGAAUGGCACCACUCACAAUCACCGAAAAUCAAGGGCCGUAGACUGCUCUCCGAAUCAGAGAAAUCCAACGCUCCGAGAACCCAAAGCAGCGAAGCAUCUGAAGAAUGAAGGGCCAAGACAUCCGGUCAUAAGCCUUUGCCAUAUCGAGCUUUAACACCACAUUGUUCCCACGGGUACGGCGGCUGAGAUCGUGAACGAGUUCCUGAACUAGGAUCACGUUGUCAUGAAUCACCCGUCCGGGAACAAAAUCGCUCUGGGUAGGGGAGAUGAUACGAGGCAGAAUGGGGGACAACCUUGGUGAUAACCUUGUUGCUCACGUUACAGAGACUAAUCGGCCGGAAGUCAACCCAAGAGGAGGGAGAUUCCUUCUUGGGCAGAAGGACCAAAAAAGUACUCUGAAAUCCCCUGGGCAUGGCCGAACCUCUGAAAUAGUCGAGAACAGCAUCUAGCAAAUCACGACCUAUGAUGUCCCAACAAGACUGGUAAACCUGCUGCAGAAGUCAUCCGGACCCGGGGCACUCUCAGGAUCAAUGGAAAAAACUGCCCGUCUAACAUCAUCAAUAUCCGGCUCCCUACAUAAAUCCACAUCAUCCUCUGCUGUCACCAGGGUGGGAAUGAUGUCAAAAUCAGUCUGCUGGAAUUGGCCGGAGUCUCCUGACUGUAACUUCCGAAAAGAACAGACAGCAGAGUCGGCAAUAGCAGAAGGAUCAGUAAUCCACUCAGAAGAUGAAUCAUCACGAAUCUUGUGAAUAUGAAAUAACUGACGCUUCUUCCGAAUCAUCGCAUGGAAGAAGCGGGUGUUAGAGUCACCCUCUCGGACCCAUCUAACACAGGACUGCUGGCGCAAAAAGAUCUCCUCACGGAGCAAAGCCUGCUGCAACCGAGCCCUAGCCUCAGAAAAAGACGCUCUGUCAUCAGCGGAACCAGAAAUAUCAUAUAAUCUCUCCUUCUGCGCCACCUCCUCCUCCGCCUGCUGAACCUGAGAGAAGACGUUGCCAAACACAUCUUUAUUCCAAACUUUCAAACAGAGCUUCAAUCGAACAAGCUUCUGCUGAAAGGCUCUCAUCCCGGCGCCGAUUACCGGAGCAUCCCAGGAGUGCCGCACAAUAUCAAAGAAACCCAGAUGCUUAAGCCAUACAUGGAGGAACUUAAACCGAGAAGGGCCUCUAAUAGUAUCUCUAUCCCAGGACAGAAGAAGAGGAGAGUGAUCGGAUGCAAUACGAUUCAGGUGAGAGACCCGAAAAACGGAGAAAAAAGCUGACCAACGAGCGUUGCAGACUACUCUAUCAAGCCGCCUCCAUGUGCGCCCAUUAGUCCAAGUAAACGGACUGCCAACAAAGCCCGCAUCCUCUAAACCAAAAUCAAGCAAUGCUAAAUUAAAAGCAUCUAUAGCCCCCUGAGGUUGUGGAUGGCCGCCUGAAAUCUCCGAGACAGCCUGAACAACAUUGAAAUCACCUCCUACGAUCCACGGGAGGUCAUGACUAUCGGCAAAGGACUCAAGAGCAACCCAUAAAUCCUCUCGAACAUCCAUAAGACAACUAGCAUAAAUGUAUGAUACUAACACAGAGUCAGGGAGGAGAGAGUGACUAACCCGGCAAUGGAGUACCUGGCCCAUGUCGUGCAGCAGCUCCACCGAGAAAGGAGCCGACCAAAAAAUCCAAAUCUUCCCAGACUGAGAAGAAAGAGCAUGAUCCAUCCCAAGCUGCACCCGGAUAGCCUCAAGACGAUCCAUCGAAAUAAACGGCUCCAAAAUACAAAUCAAAGACAGCCUAUGCAUACGAAUCAAUUUCCGCAAUCUGCGGAUGGCGGGGGUUUUUCCAAUCCCCCGAAUGUUCCAAAUAAGAGAACUAAUCAUCAGGGGUGGGGGAGCGAUGCCGCAUCCGCCUCUGAGUGUUACGGUAUUUACGACCCGUAACUAGAGAGAAAUCCCGAGAAGAGCUCGCAAUCCGUACACUAUCAAAGCUCUCAAUAACUGCAUCUGGGGCGGUCGGGGUAUGAACCUCUUUAGAAUCAGUUAGGAACCGACCCUCAUCACCCAACUCUCUGUCUGAAUCAGAAGGGAUCUCCUCAGUCGAGCGAGAUAGACCCAAACGUCGAUGCUCAUCACCAUCGUCAAAAUCAGGAAUAUCCGUGGAGUGUGAGUUAAAUCCAACCUGAGCGUGAUCGGCUAUAUGCACCGGUAUAUCGCUGGGAAUAGUGGUAACAUCACCUGAGUGUGAAGCACUGGGAUCCAAGGGAGCUCCUGGUGCCGAAGUUCCCACCGGCCGAGACUCAUCAUGCGGGGGGCCCUGAGUCAAGUCCACUGGAGACUGAGUACUAGGUCCUUGAGUGCGGUGAUCUGAAGUAACCACAAAUCGGGGAGUACUAGGCUUCUUUGGCUGGAUCACUGUAUCAGAGUUCUUCAUUUUGCCCUUGUCUCUGUCCUGGACCCCAUCGGCAGUCUGGGCCUUACGAAGCUCCGGAUUAGCAAUAUAACAAGAUUCCACAGAAUGUCCGAGAUGUUUGCAAGAAUUACAGUAGGCCAGAACUCGUUCAAAAACCACAUCCUGCCAGAAACCUGACUCCCCCUCACCAAUCCAGAUGCGAGGUAAUAACGGCUUUGAAACAUCAUAUUCCACUAAUACUCGAGCUACAGACGGCCGAUUAACCGAAGCCGUUGCGUGGUCAACCCGAAGUGGAUUACCAAUAGUAGAAGCAAUUGAGCAAAGAGCAGAUUUACAAUGAAUGAAAUGCACAGGUAAAUAAGGCAGAGAAACCCAAACCGGAACAAUCGGAGACUCUGCUGAACACCGGAAAUCAGUGCUCCAUUUAAAGACUCUCAUGCCUCUUCCAUUAAUAAACCAUGUCUGUCUCACCCAAAUUCUAGAAUAAUCCUCUUCUAAAGCAAGUUUAAUUAAAACAUGGCGAGGAUCCAAUAAAGAUAUUUGGCAAUUUCCUUUUAGACCUAGAGACACAAAAAAUUUUCUAAUUAAUUCCAUAGGAGGUCGGCCAAAAGAAAAUUUACCUACGAGAGAUAAUUUGAAUGGUUCCGCCAUUGUUUGAAUUUCCGCAGCCGAAAAAUGUACAGCCGGCUCGCCUUUGACCAAGGAAAUCGAUUUUUGAGGAAUGGUGGUUGAAACUCCCGCAACUGCAUCCACAAAUGAUUUCGAGGGAAUUGGAGCAUUUGGGUUAAGAAUAUUAGCGGGAUUAAUAACAUUGGCGUAUGAAGGCUUUUUAAAAAUUAGGUUGGGUUUGGGUGGGUGUUCUAGGCCUUUAUUAUUUUGAUUUUGGGCUUGAGAAUGGUUUUGAUUUUGGGCCUGGUGGAGAGAAUUAAAAGAAGUGGGCUGUUGGGCUUGUGAAAGGGUUUGGUUAUGUGGAUGUUGGGUUCGGGUUUGGUGAUUAUUUGGGUGGAUUCGGGUUUGGUUUUUUGGGUUAUGGACUCGGGUUUGGAUGGGUGGAAACGGGUUGGCAGUAGGGUUUUGUGAUGUUUGCAAAAUUAGGGCCAGCUGCUGCUUCUCUCUUGCUGCGGUUGUGGAGUUGGAUGUCAAGGGUGGGAUUGACUGGAAAGGGGUUGUAGAUGUUGGUGGAGUUGAGCUCGGCCGCAGCAUGGCGUCGACGGCCGCGGCGAUGGUGGCUGUCAGGUUUGAGAUGAAAUCGACGCAGCUGGAAGUUUCUGCAGUUGUUGCCAACGUGGUUUCCGGGAACUGAAGGUUGGAUGGCUGAUUCAGAUCAUCAUGUGCUUGUUAACAUAUAUGUUUCCAUAAUAUUGUUUUUGAUGAUAACAAACAAGAUUAAGAAUGGUUAAUCUUUUAAGAUCAAAUUAUUUUUUAUACAUUUUAAAUAAAUCAUUAUUUUCACAUUUUAAAGGUUUUAUAUUUAAUGGAAAAAUGAUUUUAUGAAAUUGAUUGUUUUUAUUCUUUUUAAAUAAAUCAUUAUUUUCACAUUAUAAAUGUUUCAUAUUUAAUUGAAAAAUGAUUUUAUGAAAUUGGUUGUUUUUCAAAGUUUAUGGUUUAAUUGAAAGAAUUUUGAAUACUUUGAAAUAAACAAGUAUUGCUUGAAAUUUUGGAAAAUGACUUAUUUGAAAAGUGUCAUAGCAUUUUGGGCUAUAUCAUAAUUUCAGAAAGUUUUGAGAUUAACAAAGCAUUAUUUAGAAAUUCUGAAAUUGGACCUGUUUGCAAACUUUCAGAACGUUUUGGGCCAUAAUACAGUUUUAUAAAGUUUUGGGGUCAAACUGUAAAUUUAAAAAUCACUGUAGCAAUCACUGUAGCAAACGGCUAACCGUUUAUUUAAAAGGGCUAACCGAUAAUUUCCAGAAAGCAUGUUCUGCAUAGUAUUGUUAAAAUGAUGAUUCUGGAACAUAACGGUGAACCGUUUACUGAAAACGGUUAACCGAUUACUUCCAAAUUGCUAACCUUGAACCGUUUAGUAAGAACGGUUAAACCAAAUUAGUUUUGCAGGUCUUUGGAAGUUAACGGCGAAAGGGUAAUCCUAAACGGUAAACCGUUUAUUUGAAAAUUGGCCCAACGGUAACUUUGACCGGCCUAAACGGUUAACCGUUAAUGGUUAACGGCGAACCGUUUUUGAGCAGACAGUCUAUAACGGCUAGUUUUUCAGCUCCAACUAUAAAUAUGCUCAAUCCAAUUCAAACAAGAUGAAUUCCAACGAUCAUCAUUGAGCUUUAAAUCUUUGUAUUCAUCUUAUUCAUUCACACAUUGAGCUUUUACUUGUGAUCAAACACAUUAUGUGAGAGAGAUUCAUUUGUAAUUUUUUUUGUAAAAUCAAGUUAAAAGAUUGUAAGUGUUGGGAUACACUUGGGUUAAGAGAUUGGGGAUAAUCUCUUGUUGUAAAGGUCCAUUGACACCUUGGAAGUCAAUUGUAAGCGUUUGAAACCUUGGGAGGCUAGCUUAGUGAAAUCCUCAAGCCCGGUGAGCUUGGAGGCGUGGACGUAGGCGGGGAUUGCCGAACCACGUAAAAAUCAUUGUGUUUGUUUUCUCUUCCCUUACUCUUUUAUAUUGUGAUUGAUUUAUUUGUUAUUGCUUUAAAUUAGUUUUGGAUUUGCAUUGAGUUUUGUUUUAGAAUUGAAUAAUUUUUAAUAUCCCAAUUCACCCCCCUCUUGGGUUGCCUAGUUAGUAUUUCAUUUGGUAUCAGAGCAAGGUGCUCUUGUGUAGACUUAACCGUCUAGAGUUAAAGAUCCAUAGCAACCCAAAUUAGCUCAAUCAUCAUGGAAGGCCAAUGUACCACUAGACCUCCAUUUUUCGAUGGAAAUGAUUAUCCUUAUUGGAAAACUAGGAUGAGAAUUUAUUUACAAGCUUUAGAUUAUGAAAUUUGGGAAGUUGUUUGUGAUGAUUUAUUCAUUCCUAGAAAGAAUGUUUUAAGUGAGUUAGAUAAGAAAAAGAUAUCUUUAAAUUCCAAGGCUAUGAAUACUUUAUUUUGUGCCUUAGAUAAAAAUGAAUUUCAUAGAGUUUCAAAUUGUUCUAAUGCUUAUGAAAUUUGGAGAAAACUUGAAGUUGUGUAUGAGGAGACUACAAACGAGGAGGAAUCUCAUGAAGUGUCAAAUUUGGCACUUAUGGCAAUUGGAGAUGAAUCGGAUGAUGAACUUGAUGAGGUAAGUGAUCUUCCCACUUAUGAUGAAUUACAUGAUGCGUUUAAAGAAUUGUAUGAUGAAUUAAUGAAAGUUGGUAAAAAGAAUGCAUGUCUUAAAAAAAAAACGGUAGAGCUCACAAAUGAAAUGAAUCUCUAAUUGCAAAGAUUAAUUGCCUAAAAUUAAAAAAUAAACAUUGCAUGAUNNNNNNNNNNNNNNNNNNNNNNNNNNNNNNNNNNNNNNNNNNNNNNNNNNNNNNNNNNNNNNNNNNNNNNNNNNNNNNNNNNNNNNNNNNNNNNNNNNNNNNNNNNNNNNNNNNNNNNNNNNNNNNNNNNNNNNNNNNNNNNNNNNNNNNNNNNNNNNNNNNNNNNNNNNNNNNNNNNNNNNNNNNNNNNNNNNNNNNNAGCAUGAGAAAUCACAUGUUGAUGAAUUAAUAAAUGAAAACGAAACGCUAAGAAAAAAGAGCAAUGAGUUGAAUGAGAUUGUUUUGAAAUUUACAAAUGGGCAAAAGAUGUUGGAUAAUAUGCUUAAUUCACAAAAAUGUGUAUUUGACAAAGGAGGUAUUGGCUAUAAGCCAAAUUUGAAACAAAAGUAUUAUAAGAAUUACUUUGUGAAGAGUACCUCAAUUAACAAUCAAGUUGUAUGUCAUUAUUGUAAUCAAAACGGUCACAUGAAGCUUGGUUGUCCUAUUAAGAGAAAUGUAUAUUAUGGAGUCAAAUGUAUUUGGGUUCCAAAAGGAACUAAAUCUAACAUUCAAGGACCCAAGAGUAUUUGGGUACCAAAGGGCACAACGUGAAGGUUUUCUUUGUAGGUACCACAAUCAAGGAAUGGUGGAGAAGAUCCUUGAUGAAAUCUUGUGAGGAUAAUCCUUGAUGAAUUACAAGAUGAUUUAAUUGUUUUCGUAACAAUUCUUGUCAUAUUAAUUUUGUUGAAUGAAUCAUGAUAAAUGAAUUUGCGAAAGUAUGCUUGUAUGAUUACAUGAUGGAAUUAUCAUUGUGUAUAACAUUGAGUGAUUUCUCAUGAUGUCUUUGUUUGAUUUUGAUGAUUGUAUGGUCUUUGAUUUCAUCUUCUUAAUUGUCUAUCAUCAUUGUCCAUCUCUUAUGUAUAUGUGAAUUCAUAUGCCAUUAAUUGUGUUAUAUUAUUUAUAAAAUUCGCACUAAUUGCACUUGUGAAUUUGAUCACUUGUUCUUUACUCAUAAUGAUGGCUUAUCUUAAUAGCUAUGUUGAUUUUGAUGAUCUUAUAUUGCAAUUAUACACUUAUGUUUUGCUUAAGAUUUGAGAUAAAGAAUAUGCUUUGAUAAUUACAUGUAUUUGAGGAAGUUUGAUCUUAUGGGAUCUAUGAUUGGUGAAUGGAUGCAUUUUUUGUACUUUAUUGAUGUAUUAUCAAAUAUGCAUUACUUGCUUUAAAUAAUAUCGAAAAUGGGAGAAAUACAUAUACUUCGAGAAUUUUAAGCAUAUGAGAUUUUUUUUGUUAUAUUGAAAUGUCACAUUAGAUAUUUGAUGAGUUUAGUUGUCUUUAUUUAUAAAAUGUGAUUGGUAAUUAUGGAGCUUGAAUAUUUGAUAAUAUGCAUGCCAAUUUGGUAAAGAAAUCAAAACCUCUUUGCGAAGAGCAAUUUUCAAAAAUUAGGCAUGAACUUGGAAUGAUGAAAUUUAUAAAUAUCUCUAAUCAUGUUAUUAAUACUAUUAAAUUUGAUUUCUUGAUGAUUUUGAUGAUUGAUGAUUAUAUGUGUGUUGCUUAAUGAAUUGGUAAAGUUGUUGGUUUGUUAUAAUUGUUGAAGCUUAUAUCUUUUUAAUCACGUUGUGUAUUUGAGAAUUUGCUCAUCUUUAAGGGGAGAUAAAUAUGAUAUGUUUUUGGAUAAAAUCAUUUUGGUUAAAAUUUAAAUUUGGCCAUAUAUUUAGGGGAGCAUAUAAUAUGAUUUUGGAUAAUAUGCAUUUUGAAUUUUUUUGUUGUCCAAAGGGGGAGACAAAGUAAUAUAUCAUUUUGAUGUUAUCAAAAAAAAAAAAAGGAGAAUAAUAUGGACUUUUGAAUAUUGUUUUAAUGAUUAAUAUGUGAUUAUGGUGAUGAUUUUGAGAUAUGAUGAUGAUUUGAUUACAUGGGUGUUUUAUAUGAUAAAUUUAUGUUAUGAGUUGUUGACUUAGUAAUUGAUGGAAUAAUGGUUCAUGAUAUUUUUGUGUGAUGAUUUGUGUAUGGAGUUGGCAUGUAUCAUGAUUUAUAAUAUUUUGGGAGUAAUAUUACUAAACUUGUAUUUGAGGUAAUGCUUGUUGAUAGGGGGAGAAUGUGUCAAAAUUUCUACUCGGCUACAUGGGUAACAAAUUUGCUACUCUUUUUCUUUUCCACUAAGUUUUUCUUUUUGAUGAUGAGGGGGAGAAGAAUGCAUGUAUUUAAAUUUGUUAAUUUAGCUAAAUUGUAAGAGAAGCUUACAUUUAGGGGGAGCAAUUUGUGCAAUCAUUUUUUAAAUACAUGAAACGUUUGUCAUCAUCAAAAAGGGAGAGAUUGUUAACAUAUAUGUUUCCAUAAUAUUGUUUUUGAUGAUAACAAACAAGAUUAAGAAUGGUUAAUCUUUUAAGAUCAAAUUAUUUUUUAUACAUUUUAAAUAAAUCAUUAUUUUCACAUUUUAAAGGUUUUAUAUUUAAUGGAAAAAUGAUUUUAUGAAAUUGAUUGUUUUUAUUCUUUUUAAAUAAAUCAUUAUUUUCACAUUAUAAAUGUUUCAUAUUUAAUGGAAAAAUGAUUUUAUGAAAUUGGUUGUUUUUCAAAGUUUAUGGUUUAAUUGAAAGAAUUUUGAAUACUUUGAAAUAAACAAGUAUUGCUUGAAAUUUUGGAAAAUGACAUAUUUGAAAAGUGUCAUAGCAUUUUGGGCUAUAUCAUAAUUUCAUAAAGUUUUGAGAUUAACAAAGCAUUAUUUAGAAAUUCUGAAAUUGGACUUGUUUGCAAACUUUCAGAACGUUUUGGCCAUAAUACAGUUUUAUAAAGUUUUGGGGUCAAACUGUAAAUUUAGAAAUCACUGUAGCAAUUGAAUAAUUUUUAAUAUCCCAAUUCACCCCCCCCUCUUGGGUUGCCUAGUUAGUAUUUCAGUGCUGGUUCCCGAAAGCUAGGUUGGUCGGUAAUGGCUGCUGGAACUUGCUCAGCGGCAGAUCGAAGGUGCGUUGGCUGCGGGUUAGAGUUGCCCGAUCCGGGUGCAGCGAGCUGAGGCACUGCGAACUCAUUACUCUGGGGGUUGGAUGGCUGCUUCAGCUCGUCAUUUGCAGGUUCCCGAAAGCUAGGAUGGUCGUGGAAGGCUGCUGGAACUUGCUCAGAUGCGAAAUGAAGUUGUGAUGGCCGCGGGCUAGUGUUGCCCGAUCCGGAUGCAGUGAGGUUAGGCAUGGCCAACUCAUUGCUUGGCUGGUUUUCGGAGGUGGUUAUUUGUUGUUUAGGAUCAACCAAAGUUGUCAAGGUAGGCGUUGCAGCAACCACCGUGGUGAGGUGCGAAACCCGUGAGCUGGGUUUAGUUUUUGACUGAUUUUUUUUCGUUUUUGGUUGCCGAUUUGUGUCAAGGUGAGGGAUGGAAGGCUUCUGCAGCUUGGAUGUGUUCCCGGAUAUGGCCAAAACGAUGGCAUUUUCCGGGGGGACGUUAGAAGAAGAUGGUCGUGCUUUUGAGUGGAUGUUUUUGGGUAAGGACGGUAGAUCUAGGUUCGGCCGUUGGGUAUGGUGGUCGCCGGCAUGUGAGGGAAGAGUUGAAGGUGGCCGAUCAUCAUCUCCAUCUUCCGAUGAGGCCAUAAUGGCCGGUCAAAGUCUGGUCAACCGAGGGUCAACUUUGGUCAAAGUUGCAUGAACAGUAACAAAAAUUGAGAGCGUUUUUUACUGUAGCAUUUAACAUACUAUUUGUGUCCUAGUGGUUUGCGAACCAAACGUAAGCAUUUUGAAACCCUAAACCCUAAACCCAAACCUCUCUCUAACUUUCUCUCUCUAAAAAAUUCUCUCAACCCAUCUCAACUCAUCCCUCAUGCCCUCCUCCCUUCCCCUACCCUAACUCGCCUCUAUGGCCUCGCCGGCCACCGAUGAUGGCAACCGGGCAACCCCCGGUGACCGGCCGGCCACCGGUGAUAGCUACUGGCAGCCUUACGAUUACGGUGCGAACUACCGCAGCCGUGACUUUCUUUCCGCAGAGGAAGAGGAAAAAAUUAGGAGAGAGGACCCUCCAAGGAAAUCCCUCCGGAAACCUCCAAAAUUCACGAGGGAUCCACCACCCGACAUGGUGGAACCUCCACCCCGGCCAAGGACAAGGCGCUCAAAAAACGCCCUCAACCAACGGCCUGCAACACACACUCCGGAUGCAACUCAACCUCAUCCCGUACCUCCGACAAUACACAUUUCCGAACCACCCAUAUCGUCCAUUUCCGAACCAUCUACAACACCCACUUCCGUCAUCCUAUCCAAACUUUGCCAACCGGUGAAUGUUCAAGAAAAAGGAGUAGAAAAAGGGGAAGAAACCCAAAACACCUCAUCCAUCCGUCCAAUUCCAAGCUCGGGUAACAUUCAUUAUGUUCAAGAAAGUGGCCAAGUUGUAAACCAAAAGAACCCAUCCCUCCCUCCAUCUCCAUGCUCGGGGAACACUCAAAAGGUACAAGAAAAUGGCCGAGAUGAAAUGCUUGGCGAAACUCACAACCUAAACAAUAUGCAUGGCGGCCAACCAAAAGGGCAAACACAAGAGAAAGUAGAAGAAAUCAAAGAAAACCAUGGCCAAAAUCCGUCAUCCCCGUCACCCCCGUCAUCAAUCCAUGAACAAGCCAAAGCUCACGCCACCAACGGCCAAAAUGUGCUUCAUGAAAAUCCCUCUCACUUUUCGGUAAAGCAUAAUCAUAACCACAAUUCUCCCCACCAAAGCUUGUCCCCCACCCACCAAAAGCAAACUCCCACUAUCCAUCACCCAUCAUCCCCUUACAACACCUUCCCGGCUUCCCUCUCCCAACUUAAACAAGCUACGGGCCCCACCACCACUUAUUACUCCACUAAUCUAUUAUCCCAACAACUCUUGUCCCCCAUUCAACAAAUACCAUCCCCCACCACACAUGAUUUUUCUACCAUAAUUUCUCAUCUCCAAACAACACACUCGGCCACUACUCUCCCCCCUCCAAAUUUUCCCACCAAUAAUCCCCAUCUUCACACCAUCCAAGCUAUCGUGGUCCCCACCACUAUAUUGCCUCCCACCCACAACAACAAUUGCCUCCAACCCACCCCAACAGCCAUUUUAUUAAUUUAACCGCCCACCAUCCUUUGUCCCCCACCCAACCCGACAUCCACCUCAAUAAUCUAAUCCCCCACCAACCUUUACACCCCACUCAUCCUAACACCCAUCCCGUGGUCCCCACUCUCACUCCUCAACCCCCACCUUCCACCAUCUCGUUUUCCACAACUCUCUCUCAUCAACCCUUACCUUCCACGUUUUCCUCCACUCUCUCUCCUCAGCCCUCACCCUCCACCAUCUCGGUCUCCACCAUUCCUCUCCCUCCACCAAUUUUUGCCCCCCACUCAUCCCAACACCCACAUACCGUGGACCCCACUCCUCCUCAUCACCCUUCCACUUCCACGUUUCCCUCCAACAAAAUCUCACACACCACUCCUCACCCCAAUAUUUUAAUCCCCCACCUCCCUUUGUCCCCCACCCAACCCAACACCCAUCCCCCACCCGUGGUCCCCACUCCUCUUCAUCAUGCUUCCACCUCUACGUUUCCCCAAAACACAAACACAUUCUCUUACACCACACAUGUUUCCCCCACCACAUCCUCCCAUCCACCUCACACAUUACCCCAUAUCUCAACCAACCCAAUUCCUCCUCCCCAAGCCCAAAAUAACACCCUCAACCCCCAAGCCCAAACUCCUCCUCAAUCCACUACUUCAAACAAAGCCCACCACCCCAACUUAAGCCAUCCAGCGCAUAACCAAAACCAAAAAGAAAAUACUCACCUUCCGCAAGCCCAUAACCAUCCUCAACACCCACCCAAUUUCGGCCCGACAUACGCCUCUAUCCUAAAUUCUGACCCCCAACCCCAAUCGUCACAAGCCUCUCAAAAAAUCNNNNNNNNNNNNNNNNNNNNNNNNNNNNNNNNNNNNNNNNNNNNNNNNNNNNNNNNNNNNNNNNNNNNNNNNNNNNNNNNNNNNNNNNNNNNNNNNNNNNNNNNNNNNNNNNNNNNNNNNNNNNNNNNNNNNNNNNNNNNNNNNNNNNNNNNNNNNNNNNNNNNNNNNNNNNNNNNNNNNNNNNNNNNNNNNNNNNNNNNNNNNNNNNNNNNNNNNNNNNNNNNNNNNNNNNNNNNNNNNNNNNNNNNNNNNNNNNNNNNNNNNNNNNNNNNNNNNNNNNNNNNNNNNNNNNNNNNNNNNNNNNNNNNNNNNNNNNNNNNNNNNNNNNNNNNNNNNNNNNNNNNNNNNNNNNNNNNNNNNNNNNNNNNNNNNNNNNNNNNNNNNNNNNNNNNNNNNNNNNNNNNNNNNNNNNNNNNNNNNNNNNNNNNNNNNNNNNNNNNNNNNNNNNNNNNNNNNNNNNNNNNNNNNNNNNNNNNNNNNNNNNNNNNNNNNNNNNNNNNNNNNNNNNNNNNNNNNNNNNNNNNNNNNNNNNNNNNNNNNNNNNNNNNNNNNNNNNNNNNNNNNNNNNNNNNNNNNNNNNNNNNNNNNNNNNNNNNNNNNNNNNNNNNNNNNNNNNNNNNNNNNNNNNNNNNNNNNNNNNNNNNNNNNNNNNNNNNNNNNNNNNNNNNNNNNNNNNNNNNNNNNNNNNNNNNNNNNNNNNNNNNNNNNNNNNNNNNNNNNNACAGGGCCCCCCCGGCCAACCCGCACACGAGUAAGGAAAGAGCGGCCCCUCCUCCAGGCACUUCUCCUCGAGGCUCCAGACCCGACCCCAGAGCACUCGAGUUUGGCUAUUCAUAUCGUGGAUUCUGUUUCCCCGAUCACCAUGAUCUUCCCUGUCGAGGCUGAUGUCCCCGACUCACUAGCUGCUCCAGACCUGACACCUGAGUCUCAUGAUAUUAGGGCUCCGGAUCCCGGAUUGAGUUUGCCCUGCGACCAUGGAGAGAUUGCCGAUCAUCAUAUCCCUUCAGAGCUCCGAUCUUUUUCGGAUGACCUCGACACGACGGUUGUGGGCUUUAAUACCCAUUGUACCGACGUUCCUUAUGAUGUGGAGAUCAGCGAUGCAGAGGAUCAGCAUUUUGGGUAUGGUGGGACCCACCAGCAUUCCGAGCACCAGAGUGGCAAGGACCGCGAUUCUGAUCACUUAUUGGAUCAAGAUGUUUACUUCUUCCUCCACAUGCAAAUUUAUUAGAACAUGCCGAUUGUCUAAUAAAGAAAUUUGAGAUUUUCCAAGUAAUCCCAAUGAUGCAAAAAAUUUCCGGAUUAAUUCCCAACGAGGUCGGUUGUGGGAAACCUUACCGACCAACGUCAAUUUGAAAGGAGCGGCCAUCGCUUGAACUUCGUCAGUGGAAAAGUGCACGCUCGGCUCUCCUUCGAACGAAGAGACAGACUUGAUUGGAACCGUUGGGGGCGCAGGCCCAUUGAUGAUAUCAACGAACGAUUUUUUGAGAGGCUUGUGACGAUUUGGGUUGGGGUCGGAAUUUAGGAUAGAGGCGUAUGUCGGGCCGAAAUUGGGUGGGUGUUGAGGAUGGUUAUGGGCUUGCGGAAGGUGAGUAUUUUCUUUUUGGUUUUGGUUAUGGGCUGGAUGGCUUAAGUUGGAGUGGUGGGCUUUGUUUGAAGUAGUGGAUUGAGGAGGAGUUUGGGCUUGGGGGUUGAGGGUGUUAUUUUGGGCUUGGGGAGGAGGAAUUGGGUUGGUUGAGAUAUGGGGUAACGUGUGAGGUGGAUGGGAGGAUGUGGUGGGGGAAACAUGUGUGGUGUAAGAGAAUGUGUUUGUGUUUUGGGGAAACGUAGAGGUGGAAGUAUGAUGAAGAGGAGUGGGGACCACGGGUGGGGGAUGGGUGUUGGGUUGGGUGGGGGACAAAGGGAGGUGGGGGAUUAAAAUAUUGGGGUGAGAAGGAGUGGUGUGUGAGAUUUUGUUGGAGGGAAACGUGGAAGUGGAAGGGUGAUGAGGAGGAAUGGGGUCCACGGUAUGUGGGUGUUGGGAUGNNNNNNNNNNNNNNNNNNNNNNNNNNNNNNNNNNNNNNNNNNNNNNNNNNNNNNNNNNNNNNNNNNNNNNNNNNNNNNNNNNNNNNNNNNNNNNNNNNNNUGAGGGUUGAGGAGAGAGAGUGGAGGAAAACGUGGAAGGUGAGGGUUGAUGAGAGAAAGUUGUGGAAAACGAGAUGGUGGAAGGUGGGGGUUGAGGAGUGAGAGUGGGGACCACGGGAUGGGUGUUAGGAUGAGUGGGGUGUAAAGGUUGGUGGGGGAUUAGAUUAUUGAGGUGGAUGUCGGGUUGGGUGGGGGACAAAGGAUGGUGGGGGGUUAAAUUAAUGAGGUGGGUGUUGGGUUGGGUGGGGGACAGUGGUUGGUGGGUUAUUAAAUUAAUAAAAUGGGUGUUGGGGUGGGUGGGAGGCAAUUGUUGUUGGGGAAUUAAAUUAAUGGGUUGUGAUAUAGUGGUGGGGACCACGAUAGCUUGGAUGGUGUGAAGAUGGGGAUUAUUAGUGGGAAAAUUUGGAGGGGGGAGAGUAGUGGCCGAGUGUGUUGUUUGGGGAUGAGAAAUUAUGGUAGAAAAAUCAUGUGUGGUGGGGGAUGGUAUUUGUUGAAUGGGGGACAAGAGUUGUUGGGAUAAUAGAUUAGUGGAGUAAUAAGUGGUGGUGGGGCCCGUAGCUUGUUGAAGUUGGGAGAGGAAAGCCGGGAAGGUGUUGUAAGGGGAUGAUGGGUGAUGGACAGUGGGAGUUUGCUUUUGGUGGGUGGGGGACAAGCUUUGGUAGGGAGAAUUGUGGUUAUGAUUAUGCUUGACCGAAAAGUGAGAGAGAUUUUCAUGAAGCACAUUUUGGCCGUUGGUGGCGUGAGCUUUGGCUUGUUCAUGGAUUGAUGACGGGGGUGACGGGGAUGACGGAUUUUGGCCAUGGUUUUCUUUGAUUUCUUCUACUUUCUCUUGUGUUUGCCCUUUUGGUUGGCCGCCAUGCAUAUUGUUUAGGUUGUGGGUUUCGCCAAGCAUUUCAUCUCGGCCGUUUUCUUGUACCUUUUGAGUGUUCCCCGAGCAUGGAGAUGGAGGGAGGGAUGGGUUCUUUUGGUUUACAACUUGGCCACUUUCUUGAACAUAAUGAAUGUUACCCGAGCUUAGAAUUGGACGGAUGGAUGAGGUGUUUUGGGUUUCUUCCCCUUUUUCUACUCCUUUUUCUUGAACAUUCACCGGUUGGCAAAGUUUGGAUAGGAUGACGGAAGUGGGUGUUGUAGAUGGUUCGGAAAUGGACGAUAUGGGUGGUUCGGAAAUGUGUAUUGUCGGAGGUACGGGAUGAGGUUGAGUUGCAUCCGGAGUGUGUGUUGCAGGCCGUUGGUUGAGGGCUUUUUUUGAGCGCCUUGUCCUUGGCCGGGGUGGAGGUUCCACCAUGUCGGGUGGUGGAUCCCUCGUGAAUUUUGGAGGUUUCCGGAGGGAUUUCCUUGGAGGGUCCUCUCUCCUAAUUUUUUCCUCUUCCUCUGCGGAAAGAAAGUCACGGCUGCGGUAGUUCGCACCGUAAUCGUAAGGCUGCCAGUAGCUAUCACCGGUGGCCGGCCGGUCACCGGGGGUUGCCCGGUUGCCAUCAUCGGUGGCCGGCGAGGCCAUAGAGGCGAGUUAGGGUGGGGGAAGGGAGGAGGGCAUGAGGGAUGAGUUGAGAUGGGUUGAGAGAAUUUUUUAGAGAGAGAAAGUUAGAGAGAGGUUUGGGUUUAGGGUUUAGGGUUUCAAAAUGCUUACGUUUGGUUCGCAAACCACUAGGACACAAAUAGUAUGUUAAAUGCUACAGUAAAAAACGCUCUCAAUUUUUGUUACUGUUCAUGCAACUUUGACCAAAGUUGACCCUCGGUUGACCAGACUUUGACCGGCCAUUAUGGCCUCAUCGGAAGAUGGAGAUGAUGAUCGGCCACCUUCAACUCUUCCCUCACAUGCCGGCGACCACCAUACCCAACGGCCGAACCUAGAUCUACCGUCCUUACCCAAAAACAUCCACUCAAAAGCACGACCAUCUUCUUCCAACGUCCCCCCGGAAAAUGCCAUCGUUUUGGCCAUAUCCGGGAACACAUCCAAGCUGCAGAAGCCUUCCAUCCCUCACCUUGACACAAAUCGGCAACCAAAAACGAAAAAAAAUCAGUCAAAAACUAAACCCAGCUCACGGGCUUCGCACCUCACCACGGUGGUUGCUGCAACGCCUACCUUGACAACUUUGGUUGAUCCUAAACAACAAAUAACCACCUCCGAAAACUAGCCAAGCAAUGAGUUGGCCAUGCCUAACCUCACUGCAUCCGGAUCGGGCAACACUAGCCCGCGGCCAUCACAACUUCAUUUCGCAUCUGAGCAAGUUCCAGCAGCCUUCCACGACCAUCCUAGCUUUCGGGAACCUGCAAAUGACGAGCUGAAGCAGCCAUCCAACCCCCAGAGUAAUGAGUUCGCAGUGCCUCAGCUCGCUGCACCCGGAUCGGGCAACUCUAACCCGCGGCCAACGCACCUUCGAUCUGCCGCUGAGCAAGUUCCAGCAGCCAUUACCGACCAACCUAGCUUUCGGGAACCAGCACUGAAAUACUAACUAGGCAACCCAAGAGGGGGGGUGAAUUGGGAUAUUAAAAAUUAUUCAAUUGCUACAGUGAUUUCUAAAUUUACAGUUUGACCCCAAAACUUUAUAAAACUGUAUUAUGGCCCAAAACGUUCUGAAAGUUUGCAAACAGGUCCAAUUUCAGAAUUUCUAAAUAAUGCUUUGUUAAUCUCAAAACUUUCUGAAAUUAUGAUAUAGCCCAAAAUGCUAUGACACUUUUCAAAUAAGUCAUUUUCUAAAAUUUCAAGCAAUACUUGUUUAUUUCAAAGUAUUCAAAAUUCUUUCAAUUAAACCAUAAACUUUGAAAAACAACCAAUUUCAUAAAAUCAUUUUUCCAUUAAAUAUGAAACAUUUAUAAUGUGAAAAUAAUGAUUUAUUUAAAAAGAAUAAAAACAAUCAAUUUCAUAAAAUCAUUUUUCCAUUAAAUAUAAAACCUUUAAAAUGUGAAAAUAAUUAUUUAUUUAAAAUGUAUAAAAAAUAAUUUGAUGAUCUGAAUCAGCCAUCCAACCUUCAGUUCCCGGAAACCACGUUGGCAGCAACUGCAGAAACUUUCAGCCGCGUCGAUUUCAUCUCAAACCUGACAGCCACCAUCGCCGCGGCCGUCGACGCCAUGCUGCGGCCGAGCUCAACUCCACCAACAUCUACAACCCCUUUCCAGUCAAUCCCACCCUUGACAUCCAACUCCACAGCCGCAGCAAGAGAGAAGCAACAGCCGGCCCUAAUUUUGCAAACAUCACAAAACCCUACUGCCAACCCGUUUCCACCCAUCCAAACCCGAGUCCAUAACCCGAAAAACCAAACCCGAAUCCACCCAAAUAAUCACCAAACCCGAACCCAACAUCCACAUAACCAAACCCUUUCACAAGCCCAACAGCCCACUUCUUUUAAUUCUCUCCACCAGGCCCAAAAUCAAAACCAUUCUCAAGCCCAAAAUCAAAAUAAUAAAGGCCUAGAACACCCACCCAAACCCAACCCAAUUUUUAAAAAGCCUUCAUACGCCAAUGUUAUUAAUCCCGCUAAUAUUCUUAACCCAAAUGCUCCAAUUCCCUCGAAAUCAUUUGUGGAUGCAGUUGCGGGAGUUUCAACCACCAUUCCUCAAAAAUCGAUUUCCUUGGUCAAAGGCGAGCCGGCUGUACAUUUUUCGGCUGCGGAAAUUCAAACAAUGGCGGAACCAUUCAAAUUAUCUCUCGUAGGUAAAUUUUCUUUUGGCCGACCUCCUAUGGAAUUAAUUAGAAAUUUUUUUGUGUCUCUAGGUCUAAAAGGAAAUUGCCAAAUAUCUUUAUUGGAUCCUCGCCAUGUUUUAAUUAAACUUGCUUUAGAAGAGGAUUAUUCUAGAAUUUGGGUGAGACAAACAUGGUUUAUUAAUGGAAGAGGCAUGAGUCUUUAAAUGGAGCACUGAUUUUCGGUGUUCAGCAAAGUCUCCGAUUGUUCCGGUUUGGGUUUCUCUGCCUUAUUUACCUGUGCAUUUCAUUCAUUGUAAAUCUGCUCUUUGCUCAAUUGCUUCUGCUAUUGGUAAUCCACUUCGGGUUGACCACGCAACGGCUUCGGUUAAUCGGCCGUCUGUAGCUCGAGUAUUAGUGGAAUAUGAUGUUUCAAAGCCAUUAUUACCUCGCAUCUGGAUUGGUGAGGGGGAGUCAGGUUUCUGGCAGGAUGUGGUUUUUGAACGAGUUCCGGCCUACUGUAAUUCUUGCAAACAUCUCGAACAUUCUGUGGAAUCUUGUUAUAUUGGGAGUCAAAAGUUACUGAUGUUUGUAUGGAUAAAGAAGUCGAUUGUGUCAUAGUUUAUUCAAAUGGUGUCUCCCAUGAUUCUGAUCAUGAAACAAUUCACAAUCAUCAUGAUGUUGCGAGGCCAUUUGAACAUGUUGACGGGGAUCCUCAACUCCAAAGUUUGGUAGAAAGCACUGAAGUAAAAGAAUAUGAAGUGAAGGAGUGUACCUCAGAGACCUCAAUUGAGGUCGAGAAGGGUAAGGAAGAACAUAAUGUAGUAAGUUCAAUGCCUGAGGCUGGCUUGCCUGCAGAGAAGACCAAACCAGAAGAUGUAAAAACAAAGGAAAAUAAUAAGUCACAUUUAGUUGAGAAGCAUUCGUCAAAAGCCACUGCUGGAAUGUUCGAACAAAACACACCAUUCCACAACCAUUUUCCCUAGCAACUGAAAAGCGUGCUUCAAAUGGAACCCGACCUACUGCAGCUGAGCUGAAGAGUGUGAAUAAAUCAUCUAAUACAAAUAGUCUGCGACAUCUGAAUAGUAAAAAACAGAAUCAGCCACCUCUGGUUCCAAGGAAGCCAUUGCAACCCAAUAACAAGAAGCUUCCUGAUGAGGAAGACUCUUGUUCUGUUGCUUCCUCCACUGCCGCAUCAGUGCGGACUGUGAAGUCCAGGAUCAUUGUUGCAGCAGCUCCUACAUUUAGAUGCACUGAACGUGCAGAGAAACGGAAGGAGUUUUAUUCAAAACUAGAGGAGAAACACCAAGCUCUGGAAGCUGAGAAGAGCCAAAGUGAAGCCAGGACUAAGGAAGAGACAGAAGCAGCUAUCAAGCAAUUGAGAAAGAGUUUAACAUUUAAGGCGAGCCCAAUGCCAAGCUUCUACCAUGACGGACCACCACCAAAAGUUGAACUCAAAAAGAUGCCACCAACUCGUGCAAAAUCACCAAAGCUGGGCCGAAGGAAGAGCUGUAGUGAUUCAGCCAGUUUGAAUCAAGGAGACCAAGUGAAGGGAACUUCUCGCACGGGAAAUCGUCAAAGUCUAGGUAAUUACAGAGAAGACACCACCCUUUUUUCCACUGACAAAAAGGAUCCAAGCAACAUCCCAAAUGGUCAUGUCAUUUGCAAACUCCAAGACAAUCCUAACCUAGCAGAAGAUAUAAUGGUCCCCAAGGUAAAUGUUCAUAGUAAUCCAGAAAUUGGUGUUGUCUUCCAACACUGAUUUCUGGUGAGCAGCACUCUAAUUUAUCAAUUUAAAGAGGAAAAGGUGUUUAUUUCUCUUCUUUUCCUGUGACUGUUCUGAAGAAUGUGCAUUUUGUUGUUUUAAAUUUGCAAGGACUUGUUGCAAUGUUUGUGUAAUUAUGAAGUGUAAAUUUUCUGUAACUUAUAUAAAUGUCCCCAUUUUGUAAUAACCUUUGUUCAUUUGUUUAAAAAAAAACCCUAAACCCUAAACCAUAAACCCUAAACACUAAAACCCUAAACCCAAAACCCAAAACCCAAAACCCAAAACCCUAAACCCUAAAAACCCUAAACCCUAAAAACCCUAAACCCUAAACCCUAAACCCUAAACCCUAAACCCUAAACUCUAAACCCUAAAAUCCUAAAACCCUAAAACAUAAACCAUAAAUCCUAACCCCUAACCCCUAAUGUACACCACCACUUCCAACACGUUGGCCUUUCAAUUCUCUUCGAUUUGAUAUGUUGUUUGGAAAAUUCAGAGCACGUUUGGGCCUCGAAACAUUGAUUUGAACUCGGAAUACUAUUUAUGCUACAGUAUCCGAAUCCGAGUUUUGUUUUUUCCGGCCAUUUUUCCGGCAAGUAAGCAUACACCUCCCUCUAAAACACAUUCAUCUUUCAUUGAUCUAUAUUUUUUUGUGUUUAUUGGUGAUUUUUGUGUUGAUUGGGACGCCCAAUCAAGCCUAGAAGUGUCGGUUCGCUAUUCAUUGAAUAGUGCCGAUCACUAAAUCCUAGAUCCAGCCAAAUUUUCGGCAAGUGAACUCUCACCACCCCCUCAAAAUUGUUCCCCUCUCACCGAUCUAUGUUUCCCUACCCUCAAUGAGAAUUUUUGUGGUGAUUUGAAGCCUCUACGCCUUUUUGUGGAUGUCACUACUGGAUCCCAAAGAACUGAUCCGGUCAUCGCCUUCAGGCAAUCCUCCACCCAUAAAGGCGAACCUGCCAUUUUUUUCACUGAGGAAGAAAUCAACAUCAUGGCCGCACCAUUCAAGCUCUCUUUGGUUGGUAAGCUUUCUUUCGGCCGCCCUCCCAUUGAUGUUAUCCGUAAAUUUUUUGUGGCUUUAGGCCUGAAAGGAAAUGUUGAAAUCUCUUUAUUGGAUCCGUGCCACAUCCUAAUCCAACUUCACUUGGAAGAAGAUUACACGAGAAUUUGGCUCCGCCAAUCCUGGUUUAUUGAUGGCAGAGCUAUGCGGGUUUUCAAAUGAUCCACAACAUUUCACGACUCUGAAGAGUCGCCGAUUGUUCCGGUCUGGGUAUCCUUGCCAUUUUUACCGAUUCACUACAUGAGAUGCAAAGAGACUUUGUAUUCAAUUGCUGCUGCCAUCGGUAAACCUCUACGGAUCGAUCAUGCCACCGCCUUGGUCAGUAGGCCUACUGUUGCUAGCGUCCUAAUUGAGUAUGACAUUUCUAGGCCUCUAUUGAAGCGGUUAUGGAUCGGGGAAAAAGACACUGGCUUCUGGUAGUAUAUCAUCUUCGAAAAAGUGCCUCGGUAUUGUGCUACCUACAAGCACGUGGGCCACUCUGAUGACACUUGCUACAUUAAUAAACCCGAGUUGCGGAAAGCAGACCGUGUCGGUCCAGUUCAGCAAACUGUUGUUGCUAAUGGUGAGGGUAACAAGUCAAAAGAACCUAUGAAGACUCAGUACGUUCAGAAAGCUGAUAACAGAAAGCUGAACGCAGCAACAAAUGAAGCGGCAACUCACACCAAUGCAGAAACCAGUGAAGCACAAAAUGAAGUUAUUACUACUGAAGCAACACAUGUUAUCAGCUCUGAUGCCCCUGCUGUUGCUGAUGGACCUCCUCAGAGCACAGUCACCUUACCUUCAGUUGUGCGUGCUUCUCCUGAGCCCACGUGCAGUGAUAUCGUUCCUGUUGUGGAUAAGGAUGAUAGUGGGUUCAGUACACCUGUCGUUACUGCUGCUAGUUCUAUGGCCACCACUUCCACACCUAUCGUCCCCUUGGGAAUGGCCGGCAGUGCACUUAGGUUUCGUGAUGCUCCUUCCACAGAAGUUAUGGCAAUCCAAUGUGCUCCGUAUGAUGAUGCGCCGAUUUGCUCUCAACACCUAAUGCACAUAUUUACCUGAGGUGUCUCCUGUAACCAAAGAUAGAAUUGGAAAGAGUCAUCGGAUCGAGGAAUACAGUAACUACAAUGAUGAAUUUUGUGGUGAUGACCGCUGUGGCAAUUCAGACUCUGAGAGGGUGGAAGAUGCAGUUAUCCAAAAAUUGGGUGACCAAAGAAUUAUCAGAUGUUCGGAGGGUUUUAUUGAAGUUACGCCACAGAAGAACUUCAAGAUUAACCGUAGACGCCGGCGGCGAUAUUGAUUUUUAUCUUUAUUGUAUUAUGUAUUUUGAUUAUUUUAUUGUUGUUGUUUUGCUCUGGAGGUUUGGUCCAUGUCCCCCUCGAGUAUUUGUAUCUUCUUUUCGUUCUAUCUACUGGUAGGGGUCCCGCCUAACCCCCCACCUCCUGGUGGUUUUUAAUAAAAAAAAACCCUAAACCCUAAAACCCUAAACCCUAAACCCUAAAACACUGUAGCAUCGAUGAACAGACAUUGUAGCAGGAAUAGUAAACUCUAACUUCGAAAGGGCGUAUAGGCUUCAAAUCACCACAAAAACUCUUAUGGAAGGUAGGGAAACAUAGAUCGGUGAGAGGGGAACAAUUUGGAGGGGUUGGUGAGAGUUCACUUGCCGGAAAUUUAGCCGGAUCUAGGAUUAAGUGAUCGGCAUUAUUUAAUAAAUAGUGAACCGACACUUCUAGGCUUGACUGGGCACCCAAAUCAACACAAAAAUCACCAACAAACACACGAAAAUAUAGAUCAAUGAAAGAUGAGUGUGUUUAAGAGGGAUGUGUAUGCUUACUUGCCGGAAAAAUGGCCGGAAAAAAUGAAACUCGCAUUCGGGUACUGUAUUGCCGUAACUUCUGUAGAAGGAGCAUCGUGAGAACUCAAUGCACCGCCUGUCAUUCCUAUAUAGGGGCCGAAAUAACUGCUCAGUAGCCUAAGAGCGUCAGUAGGUGUGGAAGUCGUGGCCAUAUAACCAGCAGCAGUAACAACAAGUGUACCGAACCCACUAUCCAUCUCGCCCACGACUGGAACGAGAUCAGUGCACGUGCGCUCAGGAGAAGCACGCACAACUGGGGGCAAAGUGACUGUGCUCGGAGGAGGUACAACAGCAACAGCAAGAGGAUCAGAACUGAUAACGUGCGUCGCUUCAGUAGUAGUAACUUCGUUUGGUGGUACGAACAUCAUGAACAACUGGAGAAGCAACUGUUGAAGUAUCCUGAGCACUGUGAGUUGUCACUUCAUUUGUUGCUGCGUUCUGGUUUCUGUUAUCAGCUUUCUGAACGUAUUGAGUCUUCAUAGGUACCUUGGACUUGUUACCAUCACCAUCAGGAACAACAGUUUGCUGAACUGGACCGACACGAGCUGCAUUCCGCAACUCGGGUUUACUGAUGUAGCAGGUGUCAUCGGAGUGGCCCACGUGCUUGCAUGUAGCACAAUAACGAGACACAUUUUCGAAGGUGAUGUACUGCCAGAAGCUAGUGUUUUUUUCCCUGAUCCAUAAACGCUUCAAUAAAGGCUUAGAAAUGUCAUACUCAAUUAAGACUCUAGCAACAGUAGGCCUACUGACCGAGGCGGUGGCAUGAUCGAUUCGUAGAGGUUUACCGAUGGUAGCAGCAAUGGAAUACAAAGUCUCUUUGCAUCUGAUGUAGUGAACCGGUAAAAACGGCAAAAGUACCCAGACCGAAACAAUCGGUGACUCUUCAGAGCUGUGAAAAGUUGUGGACCAUUUGAAAACCCGCAUAGCUCUGCCAUCAAUAAACCAGGAUUGGCGGAACCAAAUUCUCGUGUAGUCCUCUUCCAGGUGAAGUUGGAUAAUGAUGUGGCGAGCAUCCAAUAAGGAGAUUUCAACGUUUCCUUCCAGGCCAAAUGCCACAAAAAAUUUGCGGAUAAAAUCAAUGGGAGGGCGGCCGAAAGAAAACUUACCAACCAAAGAGAGCUUGAAUGGUGCGGCCAUGAUGUUGAUUUCUUCCUCAGUGAAAAAAAUGCCAGGUUCGCCUCUAUGGGUGGAGGAUUGCCUGAAGGUGAUGGCCGGAUCAGAUCUUUGGGAUCCGGUAGUGACAUCCACAAAAGAUUUGCAGGGUUGAGCAGUGGGUGGUUUUGACACCAUUUGAGCAAAUGACGGGAGUGGUGGAAACUCCAAUGAAGUAACCGGAUGGCCACCGGCCAUAGCCGGAGAAGCCCGAACGGGAGACCCCAAAAGAAUAAUGCACCAAAUCACCAAACAAAACCAAUUCUGUGAAUAGUAACCCGAAGACACUGUAGCAGAAAUAGUUACUGUAGCGAUCACGGAUACUGUAGUACGAAGAACAGACGCGGUAGCAAUGAAGAAUAGUACUGUAGCAGGAAUAGUGAAUUAUAACUUCAAAAGGGCGUAGGGGUUUCAAAUCACCACAAAAACUCUCAUGGAAGGUAGGGAAACAUAGAUCGGUGAGAGUGGAACAAUUUGGCGGGGGUGGUGAGAGAUCACUUGCCGAAAAUUUAGACGGAUCUAAGAUUAAGUGAUCCGCACUAUUUAAUAAAUAGUGAACCGACACUUCAAGUCUUAUUUGGACACCCAAAUCAACACAAAAAUCACCAACAAAUACACGAAAAUAUAGAUUAAUAAAAGGUGAGUGUGUUUAAGAGGGAGGUGUAUGCUUACUUGCCCGAAAAAUGGUCGGAAAAGUGAAAGUCGUAUUCGGGCAAUGUAGCAUGAAUAGUGUUCCGAGUUCAAAUCAAUGUUUCGAAGACCAAACGUACUCCGAAUUUUCCAAACAGCAUAUCAAAUCGAAGAGAAUUGAAAGGACAAUGUGCUGGAAGGGGUGGUGUACAUUAACUCGCCGAAAAAAUAUCUGGAAAUUUGAAUCAAAGUUUCGGCAUGACUGUAGCAAGUUGAGAGAAAAUUCUACUGUAGCAAAUCAGCGUUUUUUUGUUCCUAUUACCCAGUAUACCGUGAUAUCUGACUUCUGGCCGUUGGGAGUCAUGGGUACAACUUCUCAUACUUUGCAGCCCAAAGUGGGCUCAGAUAUGACUCAGGAUACCCAUGUGGAUGAUAUUCGUCCGUUGGGGCCUCCGGCUUUACGGGAUAUUCCCCACGCUCCAGACCUGACACCAGAGCACUCGAGUUUGGCUAUUCAGAUCGUGGAUUCUGGGUCUCCGAUCACUAUGAUAUUCCCCGUCGAGGCAGAUGUCCCCGACGCUGCAACCGCUCCAGACUCGACCGACAUUCCUCCUGGUGAUCUUGACACGACAGUUGUGGGCUAUAACACCCACUAUACCGAUAUCCCUUCUAAAGAGGAGACCAGCGAUGAUAAGGACCGCUGUGACAAUUCAAAUUCUGAGACUGUGGAAGAUGCAGUUAUCAAAAAAUUGGGCAACCAAUUUUUUAUCAGAUGUACGGAGGGUUUUAUUGAAGUUACGCCACGGAAGAACUUCAAAAUUAACCGUAGACGCCGGCGAUAUUGAUUUCUAUCUUCAUUAUAUUAUGUAUUUUGAUUAUUUUGUUGUUGUUUUGCUCUGGAGGUUUGGUCCAUGCCCCCCCCCCCAGUAUUUGUAUUUUGUUUUCGUUCUAUCUACUGGUAGGGGUCCCGCCUAACCCCCCAACUCCUGGUGAUUUUUAAUAAAAAAAAAACCCUAAACCCUAAACCCAUAAACCCUAAACCCUUAAACCCUAAACCCUAAACUCUAAAUCCUAAACCCUAAACCCUAAACCCAACCCUAAACGAAAAAACGCUGAUUUGCUACAGUGGCAUUUUGCUACAGUAUCAUAUUCUCUCAACUUGCUACAGUAAUGCCGAAACUUUUAUUCAAAUUUCCGGCCAUUUUUCCGGCGAGUUAAUGUACACUACCCCUUCUAGCACAUUGUCCUUUCAAUUCUCUUCCAUUUGAUAUGUUGUUUGGAAAAUUCGGAGUACGUUUGGGCUUCGAAACAUUGAUUUGAACUCGGAUCACUAUUUUUCGGGCAAGUAAGCAUAGACCUCCCUCUUAAACACACUCACAUUUCAUUGAUCUAUAUUUCCGUGUGUUUGUUGGUGAUUUUUGUGUUGAUUUGAGUGCCCAAACAAGACUUGAAUUGUCGGUUCACUAUUCAUUAAAUAGUGCCGAUCACUUAAUCUUAGAUCCGGCCAAAUUUUCGGUAAGUGAUCUCUCACCACCCCCACCAAAUUGUUCCACUCUCACCGAUUUAUGUUUCCCUACCUUCCAUGAGAGUUUUUGUGGUGAUUUAAAGCCCCUACGUCCUUUUGAAGUUAUAGUUCACUAUUCCUGCUACAGUACUGUUCUUCAUUGCUACAGCAUCGGUUCUUCGUGAUACAGUAUCCGUGAUCGCUACAGUGACUGUUUAUGCUACAGUGUCUUCGGCUAUUCACAGAAUUGGUUUUGUUUGGUGAUUUGGUGCAUUAUUCUUUCGGGGUCUCCCGUUACGCAACUCAGCCCGAAUGGCUUCUCCGGCUAUGGCCGGUGGCCAUCCGGCUACUUCAUUGGAGUUUCCACCACUCCCGUCAUUUGCUCAAAUGGCGUCAAAACCGCCCACUGCUCAACCCUGCAAAUCUUUUGUGGAUGUCACUACUGGAUCCCAAAGAACUGAUCCGGCCAUCGCCUUCAGGCAAUCCUCCACCCAUAGAGGCGAACCUGCCAUUUUUUUCACUGAGGAAGAAAUCAACAUCAUGGUCGCACCAUUCAAGCUCUCUUGGUUGGUAAGCUUUCUUUCGGCCGCCCUCCCUUUGAUGUUAUCCGUAAAUUUUUUGUGGCAUUAGGCCUGAAAGGAAACGUUGAAAUCUCCUUAUUGUAUUCUCGCCACAUCCUUAUCCAACUUCACCUGGAAGAGGAGUACACGAGAAUUUGGUUCCGCCAAUCCUGAUUUAUUGAUGGCAGAGCUAUGCGGGAUUUCAAAUGGUCCACAACUUUUCACAGCUCUGAAGAGUCGCCGAUUGUUCCGGCCUGGGUAUCUUUGCCGUUUUUACCGAUUCACUACAUCAUAUGCAAAGAGGCUUUGUAUUCCAUUGCUGCUACCAUCGGUAAACCUCUACGAAUCGAUCAUGCCACCGCCUCGGUCAAUAGGCCUACUGUUGCUAGAGUUUUAAUUGAGUAUGACAUUUCUAGACCUUUAUUGAAGCGUUUAUGGAUCGGGGAAAAAGACACUAGCUUCUGGCAGUACAUCACCUUCGAAAAAGUGUCUCGUUAUUAUGCUACCUGCAAGCACGUGGGCCACUCCGAUGACACCUGCUACAUCAAUAAACCCGAGUUGCGGAAUGCAGCUCGUGUCGGUCCAGUUCAGCAAACUGUUGUUCCUGAUGGUGAUGGUAACAAGUCCAAGGUACCUAUGAAGACUCCAUAUGUUCAGAAAGCUGAAAACAGAAACCAAAACACAGCAACAAAUGAAGCGACAACUCACAGUGCUCAGGAUACUUCAACAGUUGCUUCUCCAGUUGUUCAUGAUGUUCGUACCACCAAUGCAGAAACUAGUGAAGCACCAAACGGGGUUACUACUACUAAAGCGACUCACGUUAUCAGUUCUGAUCCUCUUGUUGCUGCUGCUGUACCUCCUCCGAGCAUAGUCACUUUACCCUCAGUUGUGCGUGCUUCUCCUAAGCGCACGUGCACUGAUCUCGUUCCAGUUGUGGGCAAGACGGAUAGUGGGUUCAGUACACCUGUUGUUACUGCUGCUGGUUCUAUGGACACCACUUCUACACCUACUGACGCUCUUGGGCUAUUGAACAGUUAUUUCGGCCCUUAUAUGGGAAUGAUUGGCGGUGGAUUUAGUUCUCGUGAUGCUCCGUAUGAUGAUGCGUCGCUUUGCACUCUCAAUACCCAAUGCACUGAUUUUCCUGUGGUAUCUCCUGUAACCAACAAUUCAAAACAUAGAAUUGGAAAGAGUCAUCGGAUCGAGGAUUACAGUAACUCCAGUGACGAAUUUUGGGGUGAUGACCGCUGUGGCAAUUCAGACUCUAAGAAGAUGGAAGAUGUUGUUAUCGAAAAAUUGAGUGGCCAAAGAAUUAUCAUUUCUACGGAGGGUUUUACUAAAAUUACGCCACGGAAGGGUUCCAAAAUCAAUCGUAGACGCCGGCGAUAUUGAUAUUCUAUCUCCACUAUAAUAUGUAUUUUGCUUGUUUUGGUGUUGUUUUGCUCUGGAGGUUUGGUCUAUGCCCCCCUCCAGUAUUUGUAUUUUAUUUUCGUUUUAUCUACUGGUAGGGGUCCCGCCUAACCCCCCACCUCCUGGUGGUUUUUAAUAUAAAAAAAACCUUCAACCCUAAAUCAUAAACCCUAAACCCUAAACCCUAAACCUUAAAUCCUAAAAACCCUAAAACCCUAAACCCUAAACCCUAAAACACUCAUUUCCGAACCACCCACAACACCCAUUUCCGAACCACCAACAACACCCACUUCCUUCAUCCUAUCAAAACUUCGCCAACCGGCGAUGAUUACCCACCCCGAGAAUGAUCAGGAAAAAGUGGUAGAAAACCAAAACACCUCAUCCCUCCGUCCAACUCCAUGCUCGGGUAACAUUAAUAAUGUUCAAGAAAGUGGCCGAGAAGAAAACCAAAACAACUCAUCCCUCCGUCCAAAUCCUUGCUCCGGUAACACAAAAUGUUCAAGAAACUGGCCGAGAAGCAACGAUUGGCGAGAAUCACAUCCAAAACACCAUGCAUGGCGGCCAAAACCCGUCCUCUCCUAUCCACGGUUGCUCUUCCAACUGUGAGCAAGCUCCACAUGGUGAAGUUGCCACCGCACCCCAUGUUCAAGCUCAAAAUCAUCCCAAAACUUGUGCAAACUGUGAUCAAACCACCACCUCCGUUCAUAACUUUAUCCAAACCGAGCUUCACUCACAAAUGAAAAAUGUCUCUCAAACUUUGGUCAAACAAAAUCAUGGCCACAACUCCCCCCCACCAAGCCUUGUCACCCACUCACCAAAAGCAAUCCCCCACCAUCCAUCACUCAUCAUCUUCUCACAACACACACUCGAAUUCCCAAUUCAAAAAUUCUCUUACACAUAUUCCCACACCCCACCAAGCCUUGUCCCCCACUCACAUCAAAACACCCACUCACACCUCUCCCAAUCAUUCGGCAAACCCAAACCAACAACCCACUCAUCACAUCCACUCCUCCACCACCCUUUCACAAAUUCAUCAAACCGUGGGCCCUACCACCAACUCUCAUUCCACUGAUAUAUUCCUCCAAUAAAUCUUGUCUCCCACUCAUCAAACCUUAUCGCCCAUAACUCAUUCUUUUUCUUCCAACAUUACCCACCAUCAAAAAACUCAUUCGGCCACUCCCCUCCCCCCUAUAAUUAUGUCUCCCACUAACCACAAUCCUCACACCCCUCAAAAUGUCGUGGGCCCCACCACUACAUCUCAC
rnacentral:lncRNA from 1 species